AUAUCGACGGCGGUGUUUGGCACCUCGAUGUCGGCUCAUCUCAUCCUGGGGCUGAAGCAGGUCCCAAGGGUAUGGCUGUUCGCCAUUUAAAGAGGUACGCGAGCUGGGUUUAGAACGUCGUGAGACAGUUCGGUCCCUAUCUACCGUGGGCGUUGGAAAUUUGAGAGGAUCUGCUCCUAGUACGAGAGGACCAGAGUGGACGAACCUCUGGUGUACCGGUUGUGACGCCAGUCGCAUCGCCGGGUAGCUAUGUUCGGAAGGGAUAACCGCUGAAAGCAUCUAAGCGGGAAGCCUACCUCAAGAUAAGAUUUCCCAAGGACUUUAUGUCCUCUAAAGAGCCGUUGAAGACUACGACGUUGAUAGGUUGGAUGUGGAAGUGCAGUGAUGCAUGAAGCUGACCAAUACUAAUUGCUCGUGAGGCUUGACUAUACAACACCCAAACAGUUG
rnacentral:rRNA from 1 species